AAUAAGAUCGUUUUUCGGUUUUUUGAUACAAUGUUUUGACUCUUCGUUUUAUUUGAAAUUUUUUUAGGAUUAAUAUUUUUAUUUUUACUAGAUGAUAAAAUAUGAAUAAUAUUUUAUGAGUGACUAAUUUUUUUAAGUUUUUUAAUAAUUUUUUAAAUAAGACAAAUGAUCACACAUUAAAUACGGAAAAAC
rnacentral:pre_miRNA from 1 species